rnacentral:rRNA from 1 species
GAUGAACGCUGGCGGCGUGCCUAAUACAUGCAAGUCGAGCGAACAGACGAGGAGCUUGCUCCUCUGACGUUAGCGGCGGACGGGUGAGUAACACGUGGAUAACCUACCUAUAAGACUGGGAUAACUUCGGGAAACCGGAGCUAAUACCGGAUAAUAUAUUGAACCGCAUGGUUCAAUAGUGAAAGACGGUUUUGCUGUCACUUAUAGAUGGAUCCGCGCUGCAUUAGCUAGUUGGUAAGGUAACGGCUUACCAAGGCAACGAUGCGUAGCCGACCUGAGAGGGUGAUCGGCCACACUGGAACUGAGACACGGUCCAGGCUCCUACGGGAGGCAGCAGUAGGGAAUCUUCCGCAAUGGGCGAAAGCAUGACGGAGCAACGCCGCGUGAGUGAUGAAGGUCUUCGGAUCGUAAAACUCUGUUAUUAGGGAAGAACAGAUGUGUAAGUAAAUGUGCACGUCUUGACGGUACCUAAUCAGAAAGCCACGGCUAACUACGUG